rnacentral:rRNA from 1 species
GCAUGCUGCAGCGACGCCGCGUGAGGGAUGAAGGCCUUCGGGUUGUAAACCUCUUUCAGCAGGGAAGAAGCGUGAGUGACGGUACCUGCAAAAGAAGCGCCGGCUAACUACGUGCCACCAGCCGCGAUAAUACAC